GAUUGCUCCAGUGGCCUAGUGGCUGGAGCAUUCACCUCGGAUGUGGGAGGUCACGGGUUUGAACCCCGACUGCAUCA